rnacentral:rRNA from 1 species
GUGGGGAAUAUUGGACAAUGGGCGAAAGCCUGAUCCAGCCAUGCCGCGUGUGUGAAGAAGGUCUUCGGAUUGUAAAGCACUUUAAGUUGGGAGGAAGGGUAGUAACCUAAUACGUUGCUACUUUGACGUUACCGACAGAAUAAGCACCGGCUAACUUCGUGCCAGCAGCCGCGGUAAUACGAAGGGUGCAAGCGUUACUCGGAAUUACUGGGCGUAAAGCGCGCGUAGGUGGUUCAGUAAGUUGGAAGUGAAAUGCCCGGGCUCAACCUGGGAACUGCUUUCAAAACUGCUGAGCUAGAGUACGGUAGAGGGUGGUGGAAUUUCCUGUGUAGCGGUGAAAUGCGUAGAUAUAGGAAGGAACACCAGUGGCGAAGGCGACCACCUGGACUGAUACUGACACUGAGGUGCGAAAGCGUGGGGAGCAAACAGGAUUAGAAACCCCUGUAGUCC